CCCAAAAAACGUCAAAAAAUUUUUAAACGCACCGGGCGUUUAUACGAAGCAUUACGGUAUAUGUAUUUCUAUUUAACACAUUUUUUGUUUUAUUUAUUUAGCUUUCACAUAAAAGCCUUGCUGACGGUGUUACAAAAGGUAAGGCACCCUUUUUUUUAUCUUUUUAUCUUCAUAUAUAUAUAUCUCAUAUAUAUAUGAGACAUAUAUGGGACAUAUAUAUAUGAGACCGUUCGCUUCAUCUCGUCCCCAGGGCUUAUUGUCAGAAAGACAAAGAAGACCUGAGUACAAGGUUGUAAUGUUAUAGCAAUGUCAUACUAAAUAAUAUAGAACAUAUUUGUUUAGGCUGCAGAGGUGCUGAUAACAAUCCUAAUGGAUACCCUGGUCAAAUCCCGACAAACACAAUAACAGGUUCUUGUAGAAAAUCUGAUCAAUAUGGCGGAUAUUAUUUUUUGAUCACAUGGGGUCAACCAAUUGAUGCAAAAACUAAACCAGCCAGCGGUUAUCAAGUAUCAUUUGAUUAUGGUUCGUCCUCCUUUAUCUGUUUCCAAGUGAAAAACAACACAAAUCAGUUUAUUUUUACAAAGAAGAGAGGUUUCGUGGAAGGUCAAAUUUAUGAUUUAGCGAUUAUUCCUCGUCCCACACCAUACGCGCUUUCAACAAAGAUGGUCCGCAUCGGUAAAUGCCC